AAUAGUGCACUACUCCAAUAUAUAACUUUGUUCUCUAAACAAUAACUUUCUUUCUUGAGAUGAUAGUAAUAACAGUGAUGGUGGUUGGUAUGCAGGGGCAUCUUUUCAAAAGGACUCGCCAUCCUCUCUUGCAAUAAAGGAGGAGAGGAGGCAUGAACAGACACGCUCAAUGCUGGGACCUGCAAGCCACCAUUCUCAGGAGACAGAGGAGGAAGAAGCCAUUGUUGAGAUGGCGGAUUACGCCCAACCCCAUCGCAAACCACCCAUUCACAAUGACAAGCCCUGACACUUGAUCCUACUCCAUUAUUACAAUUACUUCAAUUUCAAACAAUGCUUGUGGUUGAGCUCAUUCCUUAUAUUCUAUGUAUUACUAUUAUUACUAGAGGUCCAUAUAUAUAUGUUCUUUCCUAUUCUAUGAUCUCAUCAACAAGAAACACUGUCAAAGAAAGAUGGGCCCUCUGUCUCUGUGUGUGUCAAACAGAAUUGUCGAUUGUGUGGACAGCUAAACAAGAUGGUUUAUGUGCUUCUCGAUCA